CACGUAGGAGGCGAGCGUUGUCCGGAAUCAUUGGGCGUAAAGAGCGCGCAGGCGGCUUGGCAAGUCGGGUGUGAAAUCCCGGGGCUCAACCCCGAGACUGCAUUCGAUACUGUCAGGCUAGAGGUAGGUAGGGGAGAUCGGAAUUCCUGGUGUAGCGGUGAAAUGCGCAGAUAUCAGGAGGAACACCAGCGGCGAAGGCGGCGCUCUGGGCCGGUACUGACGCUGAGGAGCGAAAGCGUGGGGAUCAAACAGG
rnacentral:rRNA from 1 species